rnacentral:rRNA from 1 species
AAAACGACUCUCGGCAACGGAUAUCUCGGCUCUCGCAUCGAUGAAGAACGCAGCGAAAUGCGAUACUUGGUGUGAAUUGCAGGAUCCCGCGAACCAUCGAGUUUUUGAACGCAAGUUGCGCCCGAAGCCUUCUGGCCGAGGGCACGUCUGCCUGGGUGUCACUCU